rnacentral:rRNA from 1 species
UGCAAGUCGAACGGAAAGGCCUCUAGCUUGCUGGGGGUACUCGAGUGGCGAACGGGUGAGUAACACGUGGGUGAUCUGCCCUGCACUUCGGGAUAAGCUUGGGAAACUGGGUCUAAUACCGGAUAUGAACGGUCUUUGGUGUGAUUGUUGGAAAGAUUUUUUCGGUGUGGGAUGAGCUCGCGGCCUAUCAGCUUGUUGGUGGGGUAAUGGCCUACCAAGGCGUCGACGGGUAGCCGGCCUGAGAGGGUGUACGGCCACAUUGGGACUGAGAUACGGCCCAGACUCCUACGGGAGGCAGCAGUAGGGAAUCUUCCGCAAUGGACGAAAGUCUGACGGAGCAACGCCGCGUGAGUGAAGAAGGCCUUCGGGUCGUAAAACUCUGUUGCCGGGGAAGAACAAGUGCCGUUCGAACAGGGCGGCGCCUUGACGGUACCCGGCCAGAAAGCCACGGCUAACUAC